rnacentral:rRNA from 1 species
AACGCACCUUGCACCCUCUGGUAUUCCGGAGGGUAUGCCCGGUUGAGUGUCUUGAAUAUCUCAAGCCAAAGGGGAUUUUGCGAUCCCCUUGAAGCCUUGGUCUUUGAAUGUCUAUCUGCCGAGUUACAUCGGCUCAUUCGAAAAGCAUUAGCAAAAGGUCUCUGGUACAACAGAGGCAGUUCCUUCAAUGUGAUAAGCUCAUCAUUGCUGGAGUCUGACCUUGGUGCUGGGAUUCUUAGCUUCUAACCGUCUCUCUCUAUGAGACAAAUUAUGAAUAUUUCACCUCAACUCGGGUAGGACUACCCGCUGAACUUAA